CUGCAGUCUCAUCGUCAUUCGAGUAACGACGACUGGAGGAUCAACAUUAGAGGACACGUUUUGUUCUUUUUUCAGCAUUUGGAAACAAGACAAUAUAUCUGAUAGCUUUUUAGCAGAUCUUCUACUCUCGCGCCUUGUGAAAACAAACGUUUAAGUGUUUUCUACAUAGUAGCCGUUUCUGUCGACGUUUUUAUAAGGAGACCAACCAGCUACAUUUUAACUGGGUUCGGCAGAAAAACCUAGAGAUGGCUACACAGGUUGACUCUCACGCUGAUAUGGCACAGGCUCGCCAGAGCGACGGCAUCAAUGUGAUCUUCGACCAGAAGAGCCCAGGCUCUUCACACUCCCGAUCUCGCUCGCGAUCCGUUAGCAGCUCUGCCAGCAGCCGUUCCACCGGUUCUGACUACAGAGGGCGUAAAAGCCGCUGUCGACGCAACAGGUCUUCAUCCUCCUCAUCUUCAUCUUCUUGCAGGAGCGGGUCAUCCUCUAGCUCCAGGUCCCGUUCCAGGUCCCGAUCCUAUCCGCGAUGCCACCGACAUUCUUCCCGCUGUAGAUGUGAUAACCACCGCAGUUAUGGCGGCUACCGCCGGUCCCCACCCAGGCGCUACAGGGCACACUCUCGCUCCUUCAGUCGGUCCCCACCCCGCCGCUAUAGGGGACGUUCUCGCUCCUACAGCCGAUCCCCACCACGCCACUACAGGGCUCGUUCCCGCUCCUACACACGCUCCCCGGUAUCAGACAGAUAUUCCCGCCAUCGCAGAAGCUAUAGGUCCAGGUCCCGUUCUUGGUCUCCAGCACGCUGGAGUAGGUACAGGAGACCAGCAAGUCAGCUGAGAUGCAGAUUCUCUCGAUCUCCUUCCAUGCCCUACAGGGGGCGAUCGCGAUCCAGGUCAUCUGGACGUUCUGUCAGUUUAAGCCUGCGUGACAAAAGGGAACUCCUUGAAGUUGCCAAGGCCAAUGCUAUGCGAAUGCUUGGAGUGGAGAAGCUGGACCUUCCUGAAAGUGUGAAGCCUAUCCUGUCAGAGCAGCCAGCAACCAGAAGUUCUUCACCAGAGCCUGUUACAGGGGUGAGGCAUGGCUCCCAAAAGACUCAUUUAGACGUGAGUGUUUUUACUAAUGAUAAAAAAUAUGCUAUAGAAGAAAUUGCCUCCUCGGUCACUGAGAAAUUCUUUGUAAAUUCUUUUUCUUUCUUUCUCGUAGCUACAGUACAUUGCUAUUGGCUUGGUGAAAGUUGCAUAGAAGUAACUAUUUUUAAAUUUUUUAUUUUUUUUUUAGAUUUAGGUUCCUUACAUGAUUUUUUUUCUUGAGAGCACACCAAAUGUACUACCUGCUCUUGGUCUAGUUUCUUUUUCUUUAUUUCCUGUCUUUUGUUAACCUGACCCAUGAGGGAACACACCUGCUCUCUGUAUUUAUUCCUGUCUUCAUAGAUAACAUGACAGUGGUCUCCUUCACUCAUCGGCACCUGGGAUUAAAAGGCUGUCAUGUGACAUGGAUGAAAUGGGUUAUUGUUACUUGGCAGAAUCUGCCACUCGCUGAAGGAGCACAGGUGUGUGGACUACAUUAUAAUGACUAUUCCAGUCAAGAC